GGAUUGUGUGCUAAAAGAUUAUAUGCUCUAGUUUACACACAAGCCUAAGUGAUAUAUUGUGCCUAGAAGGCUUGCUAGAUGUUGAUUUGAUCAUGGAAGUGUGAAAUUUGUGAUAAACAUUUAUGGUAUAACUAUGGAAGGAAAUAGGGAAAGGAAUACGGGGUUAUUAUGUAAAAAAUGACUAGUAUGUUUCUCUAUGUCUAUUUCUGAUGUUCAAUUAACACAAAUUACUGCUAUUAAUUUUGCCAUUCUAUACAAAUCUGACAUUAUUCUGGAAAGUUAUGGGUGACUUUAAAAUAUAAGUCAUCACUUACUUUCAUGGAGGAGGCCAACAGGUGUCAAC
rnacentral:misc_RNA from 1 species